UCCCCAGGCCCCUCCUCUGGACCCGCCUCUUCCCGAGAUGGGACCCCUACACACUCCGGGGGGGCUGUCACCCCACCCCACGAGUCCCAUUAGGGCCUCCCGAGUGCAAGUUCACCCAAGUGGUGACUUUUUAGGGACCCUCUUUCUCGUCUCGCAGAGACCUUCUGUGGCUACCCGCCCCCUGUCCAGUCGCUCCGACGUGGCUACUUUGCGGGUUGGGCUGUAUAAAGGGCUGGAGGCAGCUCGAUGCAAACCAGAGACGUGGCGCUUCUCCUAGGCCGGCCUAGGCUCCAGGGCCUGAUUACAGCCGGAGAACGGAGCAGGGAGGAGCUGAAGAGAUCACGGUCUGGGAGACAUGAAGACACAGCUGUGGACCACAGUCAGCUUUCCCAGGAAGGCUCCCUAACUGGGGACUUUGAAAUGUAAUGAGACUACUAAAUUAUUUUUUUUUUAA